GUAGCCGAGUCAGGACUGCCAAGAUGGCGACGGCCAGAGCCGACCACACUGCGACAACGGCUCUUCAGAAACCUCUGGGUGAUGUCACGGAGACCACAGAUGGAACUGGUCUGGAUCAGGUUCCUGCAGAUCAAUGGAGAUCUGGGUCCGCACCGUUUACGUUAUCGUUGCCAGUAUUAAUGCUCUUUUAAUCUGCUCGGGAUUACAGCCAUCGAUCCACAUCAUCCAUCCGCACGCACGGCCGGGCCCAAAACUGCUGCUUCACACACACACACACACACACACACACACACACUCUUCAGAAAAACACACUGACUCCCGGACGGAGAGAGAAACCAAAAAAACAGAAAACAACAACAUGAGUAGAGACAGGAGCAGGAAGGACAACAAACAGAAUGUCUGUCCCGGCUGUCGUCGUUCAUUACGCCUCCGGACAGAGUUAUUUCAGCAGCGCUGUGUCACCAAUACUAAUGAACCUGAGGGAAGGAGGGACAACGAGAGAACAAAGAUGGAACGAGAAUUCAAAAAGGAAGAAGGCGUAAAAAACAGAGAUAACAAACCAGCAGCAACAGAGAAGAAUGAAUGGGAUCGGGGAGUGGCUUUCAGUUGGAUCAGUCUAUUUAAAGGUCAUCAAUGAAUUAAUUCUGAGUAAUGUUUGAAACAUAUUGUUAACAAAUCAUCAGAAAUAAACAUCACAAGCAAAAACAAUUUGGUUUCAGAUGUGAAAAGGGCUGCUGUUCAAUCAUCCAAAACCAACCAUUAGUCAGCAAAUCAAGAUACAGAUGAUGACUGAUUGUAACGUGUUCUCUCUGUGUCAGAUAGUGUCACAGUCAGCCAUGUUAGCUCCUGGGGUAGCAUCUCCAAUCACUUUACCACAGGCCUUUUAUACAGGUUACCACACACUGGGGCUGUACAAUUAAUCGCAACAUUAUCGAAAUCACAAUAUGGCCAAGUGCAAUACGCAAAUUGCAGGAAGAUAUUUAUAAAGGUAAAAUGUGACAAAAUAGCAUUACAAUUAAUUACUUUAGUGCUGCAGAGAUGCUCUGACUUACAGUUCUUGUUCUCCAGAUUUAAGAAAACAUCUUUGUUUGGUACAGACCCCAACAACAUAUCACAGCAUCACAAUUCCAUUUUUUUUUUAUUAUUCUGUGAAAAUUAAAAUUGUUAUUGCAAAAUUGAUUGUAGACUAGUCAUACA